rnacentral:lncRNA from 1 species
ACUCCUUCUAGAACUAUUCCUAUGUAGCUAUGCUAUAAAACUAUGGAGCUCUAAUUGAGAUGGUGGCUCUAAGCUUCUCUGAAUUCUCUCCAUCUGAAUUCCUCAGAGAAUAAUGAAUUCCUCCUCUCCAGGGGGUCAGGGUUGUAUUUAUAGCUCCUAGAAAGCACCACAACCCUCAGAUCAAACCGACCUUGCUGGAUGGCUAAGAUUACUCCUCAAAGGCGGUGGAGGUAGGAUCCGCGAGGUUGCACAUGAUUGGUGCAGGUGGCCGGGUGGCUGCCCCUGAUAGGUGGGCGCCUGCCCCUGACUGGCUGCCAAGUGGCCCCACUUUGCAGCGUUGCCUCCUCGAGUCUUCUAGAGUAUUCCUGAGUUACCGAUGGGGUCUUCUCUCUAUGUAAAUUUGACAUGUGGACCUCCUUUCGUUCUUAUUCUAAUAACCCCCUGUAGAAAUAGACAAUCACCAAAACUUGUGGAAUUCUAUUAGGGAUAACCCCUAUAGCUAGAUGAUAUUCUGAUUUUAGUCCUUUCUCAUGCUAUAUUGACGGUUAAAAAGAGUACUUAUCUAUCGUCAACAAACUCCUCCAAGCUUACUUUUUGCUCGUCUCUGAGCAAAGAUAGUCUGAGUGAUGGAUCAGGAGUUACUACAAUACUUUCACGCCUCACAAGUACACAUGCGUUCAAUCAAGGACUCUCCUCCGGAUUAGAGUGAACUAUUCUAACUCAAGACUCACCAUAUUGCCUUUCACCAUGGGGCUUAUAGCUAUCACUUAGGUCUUGAGUAGUUGAAAGAUAGAACAGUUAAGUCAAGCACUAUUCUUCUCGCUCUUUGAUCAACUAUUAGUCUAGAGUUUUUGCAAGAUUUUCAAAUAAAACUUAGAGUUUUCUUGUAUGACUAUUUCAAGUCUCUCAUUUGUCGUAUCUUUGGAUCCUCUCCAAGGCAAGUGUAAAGUAUGUCUUCUCUCUUCUCUCAGAGUAUGUGGUAUUUGUAAGACUAAGGCAUAGUUGCCUUCUCUCUCUCUCACCCUACUUCUAAUUGGCUUAUGCGAAGCUCAUAGGUGGGAGAGACAAUUCAAACCUACUUGCAUGUAUUGCAUAGUUAAGCCAUGGAUCUAUAGAAACUAAUUAUACAAUCAAGUCAUAUGUGCAUGUGAGUGCAGUGAAUGAUAAGAAUGAUGGUGAUAAUGAGGGGUGAUGGUUGAUGGUGAAAAUCUAAUUCUACAAUUGCUCCUUGGUGAUAACAUACCUUCCUAAUCUGAAAAUAAGGACUUGGCUGUCUCUUUCUUUUCUUUUGGUACUUUUGUCCUCUUUCUUUUUUUCUCUUUUUUUUAACAGCCAAUCCUUUUAAUGCACUAAUAGCAUUAGAGAGUAUUAACUAAAAUAAAUGGAGCUUUAUUGGAUAAGUAGAAAAGGACAUAAUAACAAUGAAUAUUUUUGGGUGUCCUCUCCCAGUGUAGGAGUAGAACAUUUUCUGAGUAAUUGUGGAAUGUGUAUGGGUGAAUGAAUGUGUACUCCCAGGUUAGGAGCAGUAUAGGUGCGUGUCUCCAAGAUAGAAACAGCACAGAGUGUAGUGCGUAUAUGUGGGUGAUACUUCCAAGAACAGAAGUAGCACAUAGUGAAUUUGUAGUGGAUGUAAGUGGUUGCAUACUUCUGAGGACAAAAGUAGCUAAGAUCAAUGGAUAGAGAGCACAUAAUAUUGACUUUAACUGCAUUAAUAGUUUCUUAGGGUCAACAUAGCUUAACUACCCUCAAUGCUCAUAGGAUGAAAUAUAAGUGAGAGGCUUUCCUAAUCUAAUAAACAUGAGUAUUUGGCUGUGGUAGGAAUUUUGAACUCUCGUCAUAAAGAAACUCAUCAUGUAGCAAUUUUAAUAUUUUCAAAUUAAAUUCUCCAGAACUCUAGUAUCUCUAGGAGCAAGACUGAUAGCAGCUCAAAACCUUUUUCAUAUCAUAUCCGUCAACUACCUAGACUUACAUCAAGCAUUUGCUACCCACAAGUUUUAGGCUCAGAGCAAAAUCUUA